UUUAAUGAGAGUUUGAUCCUGGCUCAGGAUGAACGCUGGCGGCGUGCCUAAUACAUGCAAGUAGAACGCUGAAGGAAGGAGCUUGCUCUUUCCGGAUGAGUUGCGAACGGGUGAGUAACGCGUAGGUAACCUGCCUGGUAGCGGGGGAUAACUAUUGGAAACGAUAGCUAAUACCGCAUAACAACAGUUGUUGCAUGACAGCUGCUUGAAAGGUGCAAAUGCAUCACUACCAGAUGGACCUGCGUUGUAUUAGC
rnacentral:rRNA from 1 species